AUUGAACGCUGGCGGCAGGCCUAACACAUGCAAGUCGAGCGGAGCGCCGGACGGGGGAGGAAUGCCAAGGAAUCGGCCUGUGCGUGGUGGAUAAGGACCGGAAACGGGCGCUAUUACUAAUUCCUAUCAGAAGCGCAUGGGUCGGAUUAGCUAGUUGGUGGGGUAAAGGCCAACCAAGGCGACGACCCGUAACUGGUCUGGGAGGAUGAUCAGUCACACUGGAACUGAGACACGGUCCAGACUCCUACGGGAGGCAGCAGUGGGGAAUAUUGGACAAUGGGCGAAAGCCUGAUCCAGCCAUGCCGCGUGUGUGAAGAAGGUCUUCGGAUUGUAAAGCACUUUAAGUUGGGAGGCGUUACCAACAGAAUAAGCACCGGCUAACUUCGUGCCAGCAGCCGCGGUAAUUC
rnacentral:rRNA from 1 species